GGAUUAUAGCUCAGUGGUAGAGCGCUUGUCUCGCACAUGUGAGGUACUGGGUUCAAUCCUCAGCACCA
rnacentral:tRNA from 1 species